UUAUGAGGAAUUGGACGCAGUUUUGGGGUGCAGACCCAUGAACAACCCAGGGGAUCAUCGACUGGACAGGGGGAGUUCAGAAGAGGAGGAGAAUGAGGAGUCUUCUGGUGAGUCACCAAGUGGGCAUCAACCGGGUGAAGAUGGUACAGAGGGGGUGGAGGAUGAGGCGGCAGAGGAUGAGGCA